rnacentral:rRNA from 1 species
GCCCUUGGUUGACCUGCCGGACCCGACUGCUAUCGGGGUAAGGCUGAGCCAUGCGAGUCUAGGGCUCCAGGCUAAGGUGGGGCCCGGCAUACGGCUGAGUAACACGUAGCUAACCUACCCUUAGGAGGGGGAUAACCCCGGGAAACUGGGGUUAAACCCCCAUAGGUGAGGACGUCUGGAACCGAGUCCUCGCCGAAAGGGCUUCUAGACCAUGCUUCUAGAAGCCGCCUAAGGAUGGGGCUACGGCCCAUCAGGUGGUUGGCGGGGUAACGGCCCGCCAAGCCUAUAACGGGUAGGGGCCGUGAGAGCGGGAGCCCCCAGAUGGGCCCUGAGACAAGGGCCCAGGCCCUACGGGGCGCAGCAGGCGCGAAAACUCCGCUAUGCGCGAAAGCGCGACGGGGUUACCCCGAGUGCCUCCCGCUGAGGGGGGCUUUUCCCCAGUGUAAACAGCUGGGGGAAUAAGAGGAGGGUAAGCCUGGUGUCAGCCGCCGCGGUAAUACCAGCUCCCCAAGUGGUCGGGACGAUUAUUGGGCCUAAAGCGUCCGUAGCCGGCUUGGUAAGUCCCCUGUUAAAUUCGGCGAUCCAAUCGCCGAACUGCAGGGGAUACUGCCAGGCUAGGGGGUGGGAGAGGCCGACGGUAUUCCCGGGGGAGGAGUAAAAUCCUCAGAUCCCGGGAGGACCACCAGUGGCGAAGGCGGUCGGCUGGAACACGCCCGACGGUGAGGGACGAAAGCUGGGGGAGCGAGCCGGAUUAGAGACCCGGGUAGUCCCAGCUGUAAACCAUGCGGGCUAGGUGUCGGAUCGGCUAAGAGCCGAUCCGGUGCCGAAUGGAAGCAACUAAGCCCGCCGCCUGGGGAGUACGGCCGCAAGGCUGAAACUUAAAGGAAUUGGCGGGGGGGCACCACAAGGGGUGGAGGCUGCGGUUUAAUUGGAGUCAACGCCGGGAACCUCACCAGGGGCGACAGCAGGAUGACGGCCAGGCUGACGACCUUGCCUGACGCGCUGAGAGGAGGUGCAUGGCCGUCGCCAGCUCGUGCCGUGAGGUGUCCGGUUAAGUCCGGCAACGAGCGAGACCCCCGCCCCUAGUUGCUACCAGUACCCAACGGGUACUGGGCACACUAGGGGGACUGCCGGCGCUAAGCCGGAGGAAGGAGGGGGCUACGGCAGGUCAGUAUGCCCCGAAACCCCUGGGCUACACGCGGCCUACAAUGGCGGGGACAGCGGGUUCCGAACCCGAAAGGGGGAGGUAACCCCUGAAACCCCGCCAUAGUUGGGAUCGAGGGCUGCAACUCGCCCUCGUGAACGGGGAAUCCCUAGUAACCGCGCGUCAUCAUCGCGCGGUGAAUACGUCCCUGCUCCUUGUACACACCGCCCGUCAAGGGC